UACGUAGGGGGCGAGCGUUAUCCGGAUUUACUGGGUGUAAAGGGAGCGUAGACGGUUCUGCAAGUCUGAAGUGAAAGCCCGUGGCUUAACCGCGGAACGGCUUUGGAAACUGUGGAACUGGAGUGCUGGAGAGGCAAGCGGAAUUCCUAGUGUAGCGGUGAAAUGCGUAGAUAUUAGGAGGAACACCAGUGGCGAAGGCGGCUUACUGGACCGUAACUGACGUUGAGGCUCGAAAGCGUGGGGAGCAAACAGG
rnacentral:rRNA from 1 species